rnacentral:tRNA from 1 species
GCCGAAAUAGCUCAGUUGGGAUAGCGUUUGACUGAACAUCUAAAAGUCCCUAGUUCGAUCCCGGGUUUCGGCA